UGGGGAAUUUUGGACAAUGGGGGCAACCCUGAUCCAGCCAUGCCGCGUGAGUGAAGAAGGCCUUCGGGUUGUAAAGCUCUUUCGGCCGGGAAGAAAUCGUGUGGGCUAAUACCCUGCAUGGAUGACGGUACCGGAAUAAGAAGCACCGGCUAACUACGUGCCAGCAGCCGCGGUAAUACGUAGGGUGCGAGCGUUAAUCGGAAUUACUGGGCGUAAAGCGUGCGCAGGCGGUUUUUUAAGACAGGCGUGAAAUCCCCGGGCUUAACCUGGGAACUGCGCUUGUGACUGGAAGGCUAGAGUACGGCAGAGGGGGGUGGAAUUCCACGUGUAGCAGUGAAAUGCGUAGAGAUGUGGAGGAACACCGAUGGCGAAGGCAGCCCCCUGGGCCGAUACUGACGCUCAUGCACGAAAGCGUGGGGAGCAAACAGGAUUAGAUACCCUGGUAGUCCACGCCCUAAACGAUGUCAA
rnacentral:rRNA from 1 species